rnacentral:rRNA from 1 species
AGAGUUUGAUCCUGGCUCAGAUUGAACGCUGGCGGCAGGCCUAACACAUGCAAGUCGAGCGGAAACGAUCCUAGCUUGCUAGGAGGCGUCGAGCGGCGGACGGGUGAGUAACACGUGAGAAUCUGCCCAUUAGUGGGGGAUAACCUGGGGAAACCCAGGCUAAUACCGCAUAAUCCCUACGGGGGAAAGCAGGGGACCUUCGGGCCUUGUGCUGAUGGAUGAGCUCGCGUCGGAUUAGCUUGUUGGUGAGGUAAUGGCUCACCAAGGCGACGAUCCGUAGCUGGUCUUAGAGGAUGAUCAGCCACACCGGGACUGAGACACGGCCCGGACUCCUACGGGAGGCAGCAGUGGGGAAUCUUGGACAAUGGGGGCAACCCUGAUCCAGCCAUGCCGCGUGUGUGAAGAAGGCCUUCGGGUUGUAAAGCACUUUCAGUAGGGAGGAAGGCUUAUCCUUAAUACGGAUGAGUACUUGACGUUACCUACAGAAGAAGCACCGGCUAAUUUCGUGCCAGCAGCCGCGGUAAUACGAAAGGUGCGAGCGUUAAUCGGAAUUACUGGGCGUAAAGCGCGCGUAGGCGGUUUGCUAAGUCAGAUGUGAAAGCCCCGGGCUCAACCUGGGAACUGCAUUUGAAACUGGCAGGCUAGAAUGCAGUAGAGGGAGGUGGAAUUUCCGGUGUAGCGGUGAAAUGCGUAGAGAUCGGAAGGAACACCAGUGGCGAAAGCGGCCUCCUGGACUGACAUUGACGCUGAGUGCGAAAGCGUGGGGAGCAAACAGGAUUAGAUACCCUGGUAGUCCACGCCGUAAACGAUGUCUACUAGUCGUUGGGAAUCU